CAGGAAGAUCCCUUGGGAAGAUCCAAGUCAGGACACUUCAGGAGGGAAACAAAGAAUGAAACCUUCUGGUUUUUAUGACGGAGAGCAAACAGCAGUUGAACCUGCAAAUCAAGAGGGUCUUGUGUCCUUUGAGGAGGUGGCUGUGUAUUUCUCUGAGGAGGAAUGGUCUCAGCUGGAUCCUGACCAGAAAGCGCUGCAUUCAGAAGUCAUGCUUGAAAACCAUAGGAACGUGGUCUCUCUGGGUAAGAGUUUUCUAGUCCCUAACCAAAGAGUUCAAGAAGAGAGAUUAUAGUUAGUUUUUUAUUAAAAAACCAAUAAUCAGAUAUUGUCUCCUGGGAGGGAGAAGGAAAGGAUCUGGCUUUAUUGUGCUCCAUGGAAGGAAAGAGUCAAUGUCUCUUUGCUUGGAUUCUUUCUCUGCCAUUUCUUAUCUGUAUUUUUCCAUUUCUAUUUGAACUUCUCUAUGGAGGCUGAAAAGAACGAGGUGUGCUUUUAUGUGUCCUCUGGA